UUGUCAUUCUGGCAGCCACCUUCUAGAUUCUGAGGGCAAGGUCUUAGCAGCUGCUAUUUACCACCUAGAACCUUUUUACAUGUUACCUUUGGCAUGGACGACAGCUGACAGCAAUAAUGCCUGACAUUGAGGAGAAUGUGUUAAAAAGUACUUUGAAGAGUACUUUUUAAAUGCUUCAACCAAAGCAUCCCAACUAAGUAUCUGCUUUCCCAGUCUCAAAUUAGCUAAGGAGGGCUUAAUAGGAGGACUGAAUAUUUUACUUAAAUAUGGUUUUAAGCCUAUCUUGGUGGCACAUAAAAUGUUCCACCUUAAAAGAAACCAAAUUAUCAUGAUCGCAGCACAUCUGUUCUUCUAUUCUGCCUUUCUUUCCAUUCACAAUUCCAGAGGAAGAGGGGUAGGGGGCUUUAAGAGAGGUAACCCCUACUAUUCAAGACAAACCCUACCCCAUCCCUUUGAUCACCUUCUAAAUGGGUGGUGACUCUGGAUUGACUUACUCAGGAUUAUAACUUAAUCCUGCUAUCCUUCUAGUUACUUUCCUAAAAAUUUUCUAUCUUUCUUGGCCUUCACAUUUCUCAAAUUAGUUAUUGAUACCAACUGUCUCUCAAUUUCCUCAGCAAAUGACUCAAUUAUGCCCAGAAAUAUGACUUCUACCUGGACUGUUUUACUGAAACAAUAUUCCAGUAAAUGAAAACUCAAUAUAUUCUCCCUUCCUUUCAACCAAUUUCUCCAUUUCACCUUACUUUCUAAUGUCUGUUAAUUGUUAGCAGGC
rnacentral:lncRNA from 1 species